GGCCGGCCACGCCCCCGGGAGGUCACGUGAGGGGGCGGUGGGAACCGACACGUGGGCGCGGGGCCGCCGCCGCCUGGGCCCCGCCGCCGCCAAGGAAGAGCCCGGGACACAGCGGUGCAGCUCGGCUGCCUCCUUUGCCGUUCACUUUUAUUGAUGUGGAUAAAUACACAGCGAGAGACAGCGCCCGCGAGCGACCGAGCACCGGCGCCGGGCCCGGGGAUGUCCUUACCGGGCGCCCUUACCGGGGGCUGCUGCACCCGGCUUCGGCCCUCGCUCCCGGCGCUCGCCCAAGCGGGGAAGAGGAAAGCAGCAGGGGAGGCUCCCGUCGCCCCCGCGACCCCGGAGACGGCAGCUAUAAACCAAAGCAGCUUUAGGUAGAAAGGGAAACCCUGGCUCUGUGCCCUACCGGGGGCAGCAGACCCAUGUUCCCUGCCCGCGGGUGACACAGGCCCCGUGCUCCCUGCCAGGAGGAAAGACGCACUUUGGGGGGGCCCAGGAAAAGCGUCUGCGCGUUCAGUACGGCCUGAAGCACGGCAGCAGGAAACCCAGGGACACCUGAGCCCGCGUCCAGUGACCGCCCCGGCCACCCCGAGGGCCUUCACGCCUCCGGCUCACCCCAAAGCACCAGCUCGCAGCCCCGCAAACCGCGAGCGAAGCCUGAAACAAAGAGACGCGGAAAUCGCUCAGAGGAUGCUUCUGCGGGGGCUGCCUGCGAGGCGGGGGCAUGGGCACCAGCCUUGCCCCCAUGCAUGGGCCUGACGGGCGCUGAACGCUUAAGACCGGCCUGGGAGAUGCCUUACGCGGCAGAUCCCCAGCCAGAGCAGCAGCCACCCUGCAGUUAAGGCUUUUGCAGCAACAAGAACCAGGCGCGUAGCUAGUCUUGAAGAUGCUCAAGUUUUCCAGGACACACGCAGAGACUCGCGAGCACGUGACAUCGAUACCUCGCUGCAGCCGAGGUAAGGAAUCGCUCCCUGCUGAAUAACGGAAAGGGCAGCGCGAUCUGCUGCAACGCCUGACAAACCACGCCGCAACAUCUCAAAGCACCCGCGUAAGCAAGACAGAACUCUCUGCUGGGAGCCUCAAACGUAAACUCUGCACUUGAAAAGUUAUCGUGGUGGUUGACCAGCCCCAGCAAGCUGGCACCGGCACGGCUUAGCAUUACUGAUCACUCUAAAACAAGCAGAACUGGAUGUAGAACAGAGUUUCACAAAAACAUAUGGAGACAGUACAUUUAUUGAAGUUUGGAAAAGUAUAGUCUGAGAACAAAAUAAGUCAGCUUUUCCAAAACCUUAGACCGAAACUUCUCACCUCCAGCUGGAUUCCCCGUUCCGGGAUCUAGGUAGCAGUAAAAGCUGCGUUUCCAGCGUGGUGAGAUAACAGCAAAGUGCACACAGGAUUCCCUGAACGAGCUCCCCCACGGCCCGGGCAGGAACUCGUGCCUGACACUGGGCCCAGGGCCGAGGAGGAGCAGCAGUCCCUCCGAAGCCGCCCAUCCUGCCUGUUUUCAUCUUAUUUCUCAACUGGAGAACUCGCUACAGCUCCUCUCAGAUUAAACCCUGCACAACUACAGAGCACGUCUGUCGAAGUACUUCACGUUUGUACCUAGGCUAGGCUCUACAUGGCUUAUAUGCUCCAAACACUGUUACUCAGGCCGUACCCUGCACCUUCCCACGCAGCCAUGCGCCAGCAGCGCCCUGCCCUGCUGGGGACGGGCGGGAGGGCGUUACGUCUUGCGCUUGGGCAAGUGGCCUCCGAGGUUUCGCACUACGCCUGGGCACGAGCUGCUCCGCGUACGAGGCCCCUCGUGGGCAGCUCAUGUGUCCCCUCUCCCUAAAACAGCCACCGGAGGUGACAGACAGGUCCUCAGCCAAGCCCGCAGCCACCGCCUCGCCCUGGAUGUCCACAUCGCACCACUACUGCGAACGCCCCAACACUUCUGCCACCCUUUCCAUAGCCAACGUUAAGAAUCAUGAUCCGCAACGCGACUCAAACGUGCCCCGUGCGCAGCUCUCCCCGCUCGCACACCCGUUCCCCUCCCCUGCAUCAGCUCCGCAGCGCCAGGUGAGCGAGGUCUCCCGGGCACCGCACUGACUCCCGGCCCUUCUGCCGGGCAGGCGACACGCGAGGUGAAGCUGGCGAGACUCCUCCACCAUCGCCCCAGCAGCCACAACCUCCAACAUGCUCCCUCCUCCCUGAACCGCCACGGGGAUUUCUCAGCAGAAGCAGCGCGACCUGCCACACAGCCUCUCAUUCAGCAGGAAGGAAGACAGCCUAAAUGAGAGCCACUGCUGCAGCUGAGGAACCCGAAGCAACAGCAGGCAGAGCAAUUCCGAACUACCCCGAGUCGGCAGCAGCUGGGAUCUCCUCUACUGCCCCAGCCGAGCUGCCUCCAGUCCUGCCCUCUCCACACACCGCUUCCUCUGCUCCAUCCCCAAAAGGCUCCUGAACCACUUCCCGUUGCCAACGGCUCGACUGGAGCCUCCUGACCAACCACGGACGCGGCCUGAGCCCCGCACGAGGGUCCCCUGCAGCACCUGCCAGCGUUACAAAAUUAAAAUGAACAAAACACUAAGAUAUAAGUUACUGCUUAAAUUAUUUGUAAAAUGUCUUAGAUUUUCUGUGACACAUUUUAAAUACCCCCCAGGGCUCCCCACAGUACAUGAUCCCCAGAGGGGGCUUCAGUUCCAGCAGGGACAGACCCCACCACUAACUGGAAGUCGGUGGGGGAGGGAGCGAGGAACAGAGAAAGGGUUUCUUAUCCUUUCACAGCUUCGACAACUCCGCGCUCUAAAUACCAAUAAUAAAAGUUAUAAUAAAAUA